rnacentral:rRNA from 1 species
CCAGACUCCUACGGGAGGCAGCAGUGGGGAAUAUUGCGCAAUGGGGGGAACCCUGACGCAGCAACGCCGCGUGAGUGAAGAAGGCCUUCGGGUUGUAAAGCUCUUUCAUCAGGGACGAAGAAUGACGGUACCUGAAGAAUAAGCUCCGGCUAACUACGUGCCAGCAGCCGCGGUAAUACGUAUGGUGCAAGCGUUAUCCGGAUUUACUGGGCGUAAAGGGAGCGCAGGCGGCGCGCCAAGUCUGAUGUGAAACCCCGGGGCUCAACCCCGGGCAUGCAUUGGAAACUGGCGGGCUGGAGUGCCGGAGAGGUAAGCGGAAUUCCUAGUGUAGCGGUGAAAUGCGUAGAUAUUAGGAGGAACACCAGUGGCGAAGGCGGCUUACUGGACGGCAACUGACGCUGAGGCUCGAAAGCGUGGGGAGCAAACAGGAUUAGAUACCCGUGUAUU